AUUGAACGCUGGCGGCAGGCCUAACACAUGCAAGUCGAGCGGGGUUUUCGGACCUAGCGGCGGACGGGUGAGUAAUGCGUAGGAAGCUACCCGAUAGAGGGGGAUACCAGUUGGAAACGACUGUUAAUACCGCAUAACGUCUACGGACCAAAGUGUGGGACCUUCGGGCCACAUGCUAUCGGAUGCGCCUACGUGGGAUUAGCUAGUUGGUGGGGUAAUGGCUCACCAAGGCGACGCACCCUAGCUGGUUUGAGAGGAUGAUGAGCCACACUGGAACUGGGACACGGUCCAGACUCCUACGGGAGGCAGCAGUGGGGAAUAUUGGACAAUGGUCGCAAGCCUGAUCCAGCCAUGCCGCGUGUGUGAAGAAGGCCUUCGGGUUGUAAAGCACUUUCAGUAGGGAGGAAGAGUUGAGUGUUAAUAGUACUCAGCUUUGACGUUACCUACAGAAGAAGCACCGGCUAACUCUGUGCCAGCCGCCGCCGUAACAC
rnacentral:rRNA from 1 species